UCGGGUGUGAUGACCGCUUGCUUCUUGACAUUACCGUGAUGUUUCUUGUAUUCAUACUGUCUGACCCGU